rnacentral:rRNA from 1 species
GAUGAACGCUAGCUACAGGCUUAACACAUGCAAGUCGAGGGGUAACGAGAGGAAAGCUUGCUUUCCUUGUUGACGACCGGCGCACGGGUGAGUAACGCGUAUCCAACCUGCCCCCAACUAGGGAAUAACCUUGCGAAAGUAAGACUAAUACCCUAUAAUUUCCUCAGAUGUCAUCUGACGAGGAAUAAAGAUUUAUCGGUUGUGGAUGGGGGUGCGUCUGAUUAGCUUGUUGGCGGGGUAACGGCCCACCAAGGCAACGAUCAGUAGGGGUUCUGGGAGGAAGGUCCCCCACAUUGGAACUGAGACACGGUCCAAACUUCUACGGGAGGCAGCAGUGAGGAAUAUUGGUCAAUGGGCGGAAGCCUGAACCAGCCAAGUAGCGUGCAGGAUGACGGCCCUAUGGGUUGUAAACUGCUUUUAUACAGGAAUAAGUUAGCCACGUGUGGUUAUUUGUAGGUACUGUAUGAAUAAGGACCGGCUAAUUCCGUGCCAGCCGCCGCUGUAA